rnacentral:rRNA from 1 species
UUUUUUUGAGACUCUCCACCAGCCCCACAAUUUCCAUUGGUAAAUUACACAUUGCUUCUAGAUUGGUCCCUGAUUUUGAUCAUUCUCCUCCGAAAAAUUGGAGGACGAAAUUCACGACGCCGAGAAUGAUGAUCGCCUGUUUAUCAAAAACAUUUCUUUUUGGUGAUAAUAAAAAGUAAGGCCUGCCCCAUGAUAGUUAAAUGGCCGCAGUAAUAUGACUGUGCUAAGGUAGCAUAAUAAUUUGUCCUUUAAAUGAGGACUGGAAUGAAUGGUUUUAUGGAAAUAAGUUAAUGAUUUUAUUAUAGAAUGAAUUUAAUGUUUAAGUUAAAAUUCUUAGAUGAACCUAAAAGACGAGAAGACCCUGUGGAUCUUUACUACUUAACACUUAUUAAUAUUAAAAAAUUAAGCUCAAAGGUAGUUUGAUUGGGACGAUUCUUUAUUUAACUAAAGUUAAUAUAAUUAUUUAUGAUCCUACUUAAGGAAGUAAGAUUAAGUUACCCCAGGGAUAACAGCGUUAUAUUACCGGAUAGUUCAUAUUGAUGGUAAUGUUUGCGACCUCGAUGUUGAAUUAAAAUUUCUUUGUGAAGCAGAAGUCACAAGAAGUUAGUCUGUUCGACUAUAAAAAUUUUACAUGAUCUGAGUUCAAACCGGAGUAUAAAAACUCAAUUUACCUGAUGAUGGUCCCAAUUUGCGGCAAAAAUAUGGUAAACAUCAUGCAGAUGAACGCCAGGCAGACGUUGAGCCCGAAAACGGGCCAGAAUCCGGGGAUAGACAGACUCGAAGACCAUGAACAUGAUCUGAGUUC